rnacentral:pre_miRNA from 1 species
AAUAAGAUCGUUUUUCAGUUUUUUAUAUAAUGUUUGGAUUCUUCGUCUUAUUUAAAAUUUUUUGCGAUCAAUAUUUUUAUUCUUACUAGAUGAUAAAAUAUAAAUAGUACUUUAUACGUGACUAAUUUUUUUAAGUUUUUUAACAAAUUUUUUAAAUAAGACGAAUGGUCAAACGUUGCACACAGAAAA